rnacentral:lncRNA from 1 species
UAAUUCAUCGAUCAACAGCCCUCUAGCUCUAACUCAACAUGGAGAUCGAGCAACCUAUAUAGCUAGUGCAUCAAGUCUAGCUUGUUCCUUCCUGGACUUGAUGGUGUCUUUGGCGUUUGAUUUUAGUAGAACAAUGCAUGCAUGCGUGUUGGGAUCCAUGUAUAAGAUCCAGAUCGAGCAGUGACCCCUGCCCUGCUAGGCCUUGGCUUUGAAGGUUUCUAUUACUGUAUCCUUCUCGCGAGGUCUUGUAAUUAGCCUUCCGUUAUUAGCUAUUCCCUUCGUUCCAAAUUACUCGUCGCAGAAAUGGAUGUAUCUAGAACUAAAAUACAUCUAGAUACAUCCAUACCUGCGACAAGUAAUUCGGAACGGAGGGAGUAUGACAGAAAUGGGAGUGACAAAGUAGCCCUCCCUUUUCUCACCCCGCACUGUAAAAUUGUUCUCGCUUGCUUCCUUCCUUCCUUCCUCGUUAGCUUGUGAUGAUGUGAUCUCUUUU